rnacentral:rRNA from 1 species
CACGUAGGGCGCGAGCGUUGUCCGGAAUUAUUGGGCGUAAAGAGCUCGUAGGUGGUUUGUUACGUCCGCUGUGAAAACCUAGGGCUUAACCCUGGGCUUGCAGUGGAUACGGGCAGACUAGAGGUAGGUAGGGGAGAAUGGAAUUCCUGGUGUAGCGGUGAAAUGCGCAGAUAUCAGGAGGAACACCGGUGGCGAAGGCGGUUCUCUGGGCCUUACCUGACACUGAGGAGCGAAAGCGUGGGGAGCGAACAGG